AGAGCAGGGUUCAUUGCAACAUCCUCCACAUUUGGAGUGAGGCUUGAACGCUUCAAUCUCCCUCUGAUAACACUGUCCAGGAAAUGACAAAGCCUUUGCAAAACCAGCGCAAUGGAUCUUGGCUGGGUGAACCUCGGGUUGUUGCACAGAUUUUUUUUCUGUGGCUUUGCUGAAUCACAGCAAAACCCCACAACAUCCCACCACGGCUCUUCUCACCUCUCUGACACUUCUGCCACCACCUUUUCCACUGCAGCAGAUCCCAAGGCUCAGUUACACCCAGGUUUUCCCCACACUGGAGGAAUCUGAUUUUGAUGUCGCUGCUUCCAAGUUUAUUAAGUGACAGCCCGCUGGUUUUAGAAAGAAGCUCCCCCCAAAACGCAGUCCUUUUACCCGUGGGCUGCUGGCUGCUAUUUCUGCAGUGACCUCCAUAGCGUAAAGCUUUCUCCUGCAGCCAAACUCAUACUCAUCCAUCCCCUCUGUUUCUGCAGUCCUCUGCCUACCAAGGCAGAGAAAUCUGCUGCACGGCUUUGGGGUGGGCUGCCAGCUCCUUUUGUACCCACUGUCCUAAGUGCAAGCACUGAGUACAGACUUCUCUGCACUGAGCUGGAGAAAGAAAACACUGGUGUUCUUCCAGAGGACUGGUGGCAAGGAAGAAGGGAUGCUGUGAUGCUGUGCAUCAGUGCACUGGGCUGCUGGACGUGUCCAAAGUGCUGAAGGUGAUCCCAACAUCAGCCCUGUUUGGGGAGAUCUCCAUGCUGGAGGCAUCAGCACAGCCACCGGGAGCACUCAGAAAAAUGCUGCACACAAAAAUGUGCCCUCCUCAGCAGCUGGGAGCAGCGACGGAGCCUCGUGGCUCAUGGAAAUACCCUGCCCUGCACAUCUGUGUUUAGGCAGCGUGAUUCAGCAGCCCUGGAUGUCACCCAUCCCAUCGGCCUUGUAUCUCUGAGCAUCUCCAGGGGCACGUCACACAGCUCAGGUCUUCUCUGCAGCAACCAUGACCACGGUGGAGAUACAUGCAUCCCUCCAUGGCCGUCCCUGGGCUCUGCCUGCAGUGGGAUCCCACUCCUCCUCCUCUGCCCUCUGGAAGGCAUUCACUGGUUCCUCCACAGUCUCAGUCCUUCCUGAUGAGCUCAGUGACACACCACCCACCUGCCACCAGAAAGGUUUUUAAAGCCAGUAGAAAGAACUGACCCAGCACGGAGCUCUUGGGAAAAGGCUUUGGGCUUCUCUUGGUUGCCAGAGAGCUGCAUCCUGCGCAAGAAACCUGAGAAGCUCCAGCUUUGCAAUGACUCUGCUGUGCGCUUGAGCUCCCGUGGAACCGUGAUCAAACCUUUGACAGGGAAGGCAGACCUUUCUGGUAGCUGUGGUAGAAGUGACAGCUUUGGCUGAUGCAAGAGCACGGGGAGUUCGUUAUCCCCAAAACAAUCUGAUGUGCUGGAAAACUGCUAAGUGUGGGGGGAGGACCUCCAGGAUCGGGUCAGUGUCAGUGUCCCUGUGCUGAGCACCUUGAGGACCUGUGUGGCUGCUGCUGCUGCAGGCAUGGCCGGGCACUGAGUCAUGGUUUGCUCCUUGCUCCUGACGAUU
rnacentral:lncRNA from 1 species